ensembl:lincRNA 4933427E13Rik RIKEN cDNA 4933427E13 gene
AAUGCAUUGUAGGAUUCAGUGCUGACAGAAAAUCCUAAUGCAAAGACUGUUAAAACCCUGAACCCAAAAGAAUUAGGCAUAAAUAAGACAUGAAGUUAGCUGACAUGAGAUAUUACACUUAUUCCGUUGUUGGUAAGAACAAACCUGGGCUUCUAUUGUCACAGGAUAAAACUUGAUCUAGAUUUUUUUCACUCCAAUUUUUCAAAUGCUCUACUUUCCCCCUCCCCCACUCUCUCCUCCCACACAGAUUUCAAGAGGGAAAGGCUGAAGAGGAAGGUGACUGGAAUAUUAAGGACUGUCAGAUAUUCGGAGGAAACUCUAAUUUGUAAAUUGGUAGAAAUGCCAGUAAUUUGUUGGGAAUUGAAGACCUUCUGUAUUCACAAGUGAAGCUUGGCAGCUGUGCACUGUUGUUUUGCAAAUCAAUAUUA